rnacentral:rRNA from 2 species
GGUGAGUAACACGUAGGUAACCUGCCCAGAAGCGGGGGACAACAUUUGGAAACAGAUGCUAAUACCGCAUAACAACGUUGUUCGCAUGAACAACGCUUAAAAGAUGGCUUCUCGCUAUCACUUCUGGAUGGACCUGCGGUGCAUUAGCUUGUUGGUGGGGUAACGGCCUACCAAGGCGAUGAUGCAUAGCCGAGUUGAGAGACUGAUCGGCCACAAUGGGACUGAGACACGGCCCAUACUCCUACGGGAGGCAGCAGUAGGGAAUCUUCCACAAUGGGCGCAAGCCUGAUGGAGCAACACCGCGUGAGUGAAGAAGGGUUUCGGCUCGUAAAGCUCUGUUGUUAAAGAAGAACACGUAUGAGAGUAACUGUUCAUACGUUGACGGUAUUUAACCAGAAAGUCACGGCUAACUACGUGCCAGCAGCCGCGGUAAUACGUAGGUGGCAAGCGUUAUCCGGAUUUAUUGGGCGUAAAGAGAGUGCAGGCGGUUUUCUAAGUCUGAUGUGAAAGCCUUCGGCUUAACCGGAGAAGUGCAUCGGAAACUGGAUAACUUGAGUGCAGAAGAGGGUAGUGGAACUCC